GACGAACGCUGGCGGCGUGCUUAACACAUGCAAGUCGAACGAGGCCCACCUUUCGGGGUGGUGUUCUAGUGGCGAACGGGUGAGUAACACGUGGGCAACCUGCCCUCAGCUCUGGGAUAACUCCAAGAAAUUGGGGCUAAUACCGGAUAUGACUGCUGACCGCAUGGUCUGGUGGUGGAAAGAUUUAUCGGCUGGGGAUGGGCCCGCGGCCUAUCAGCUUGUUGGUGGGGUAGUGGCAUACCAAGGCGACGACGGGUAGCCGGCCUGAGAGGGUGACCGGCCACACUGGGACUGAGACACGGCCCAGACUCCUACGGGAGGCAGCAGUGGGGAAUAUUGCGCAAUGGGCGGAAGCCUGACGCAGCGACGCCGCGUGGGGAUGACGGCC
rnacentral:rRNA from 1 species